rnacentral:tRNA from 1 species
GGGUGCAUAGCUCAGUGGCAGAGCGUUCCGUUCACAUCGGAAAGGUCGAAGGUUCAAAUCCUUCUGCACCCA